rnacentral:rRNA from 1 species
GAUGAACGCUAGCGGCAGGCCUAAUACAUGCAAGUCGAGGGGUAGAGCUAGCUUGCUAGCUUGAGACCGGCGCACGGGUGCGUAACGCGUAUGCAACCUACCCUUUUCUGGGGGAUAGCCCGGAGAAAUCCGGAUUAAUACCGCAUAAGACCACGAUACGGCAUCGUGAUGUGGUCAAACAUUUAUGGGAGAAGGAUGGGCAUGCGUGCCAUUAGCUAGUUGGCGGGGUAACGGCCCACCAAGGCGACGAUGGCUAGGGGAUCUGAGAGGAUGGCCCCCCACACUGGUACUGGGACACGGACCAGACUCCUACGGGAGGCAGCAGUAAGGAAUAUUGGUCAAGGGGGGCAACCAUGAACCAGCCAUGCCGCGUGCAGGACGACGGCCCUCCGGGUUGUAAACUGCUUUUGUACGGGAAUAAACCACGCUGCGUGUAGCGGGCUGAAUGUACCGUAAGAAUAAGGAUCGGCUAACUCCGUGCCAGCCGCCGCAGUAA